rnacentral:rRNA from 1 species
GACCUCAAAUCAGGCAAGAAUACCCGCUGAACUUAAGCAUAUCAAUAAGCGGAGGAAAAGAAACUAACAAGGAUUCCCCUAGUAACGGCGAGUGAAGAGGGAAGAGCUCAAAUUUUAAAUCUGCCUUGUUUCAAGGUCGAGUUGUAAUUUGAAGAAGCGUUUUCUUGGGCUCGCGGCCGGUAGAAGUUCUUUGGAACAGGACAUCAUAGAGGGUGACAAUCCCGUCUGCGACCGGUCGUGCGUUCAUCUACGAUACGCUUUCAAAGAGUCGAGUUGUUUGGGAUUGCAGCUCCAAAUGGGUGGUAAACAUCACCUAAGGCUAAAUAUUGGCGAGAGACCGAUAGCGAACAAGUACCGUGAGGGAAAGAUGAAAAGAACUUUGAAAAGAGAGUUAAACAGUACGUGAAAUUGUUGAAAGGGAAACGAUUGAAGUCAGUCGUGCUGGCGCGAAAUCAACCCUCUCAUCGGGAGAUCACAUGUUGUGGCGAGCCUCAAAACCGCCACAGCGUGUGACCUCACGAUGAGGGGGAGCACUUUCGUGUCCGCUGGUUAACAUCAAUUUCGAACGUCAUAAAAAGGCUGGAGGGAUGUGGCUCCUUCGGGAGUGUUAUAACCUUUAGCGGAAUGUGGUGGUCGGGAUUGAGGAUUGCAACGAAUACCUUUAGGGCUGUUCCACCUGGCCUCUCUUUGGUAUCCUGGUGACGACAGCUUGCUGACGUCGUUAGGACUCGCCUUUGAACAGGCUAGAGUGUGAGCAAAUUCGUUAAGGAUGUUAACGUAAUGGCUUUAAACGACCCGUCUUGAAACACGGACCAAGGAGUCUAGCAUAUAUGCGAGUGUUUGAGUGUUGAAACUCGAGCGCGAAAUGAAAGUGAUAUUGGUAAGAUCCUCUUCCCCUCGGGGGAGCGGAGCAUUAUCGACCGAUCUGGAUAUUCUUUGAUAGAUUUGAGUAAGAGCA